rnacentral:tRNA from 1 species
UAAUUCCUUUUAGUAAGUGAGUAAUUAACUCGCGAUGGGUUGUUAUAAUGGAAUUAC